AGUGAACGCUGGCGGUAGGCCUAACACAUGCAAGUCGAACGGCAGCACAGUAAGAGCUUGCUCUUACGGGUGGCGAGUGGCGGACGGGUGAGGAAUACAUCGGAAUCUACUUUUUCGUGGGGGAUAACGUAGGGAAACUUACGCUAAUACCGCAUACGACCUACGGUUGAAAGCAGGGGAUCUUCGGACCUUGCGCGAUUGAAUGAGCCGAUGUCGGAUUAGCUAGUUGGCGGGGUAAAGGCCCACCAAGGCGACGAUCCGUAGCUGGUCUGAGAGGAUGAUCAGCCACACUGGAACUGAGACACGGUCCAGACUCCUACGGGAGGCAGCAGUCGGGAAUAUUGGACAAAGGGCGCAAGCCUGAUCCAGCCAUACCGCGUGGGUGAAGAAGGCCUUCGGGUUGUAAAGCCCUUUUGUUGGGAAAGAAAAGCAGCAGGUUAAUACCCCGAUGUUCUGACGGUACCCAAAGAAUAAGCACCGGCUAACUUAGUG
rnacentral:rRNA from 1 species